UGUGGUUAAUUCAAUAUGGUCCCCCAUCAACCGGUGUGGUAGUGAUGACCUGCUUCUAUAACCACACACAAACGCUUCUUCCUCCGCCUUAUCGGUCACUCCGCAACCACCACCAUGAAAACACUUCUUGGUGCUGGGUGGUCUCCCAGGCUCCCUUCCUGCCCUCUUCGACUCCUACGACCAUCUAAAGCACCGGUUUCGCUCCCUCGAUGUCAAGGAGACUCGCGGAACGAGACGAGCGGCGGGAAGAGCGAUCUGAGCAUCGGCUCUCCCAUCGUCGUCGUUGAGGCCCCGCCGACGCUCAAGACAGCCACUGCCAUGUCUUCGCUUCGGAUCAACGCCGGGCUGGUCAAGCAGGGCGAUGUCGGCAGAAUCAUAGCGAGGAAGCCGAAAGACGUAUGGGCGGUCCGCCUGGCGAUCGGAACAUAUCUCAUAGAUGGAAAGUAUUUCAAGCCAUUAGAUGUCGAUGAAUGAGAUCCACAUCUGUAUUCUACGAAAUGUUAUCAGAGUAUUGAAUGCAUGUGCAAAUUUCAUA